GGGCACUUGGCACAGUUGGUAGCGCGCACGCUUCGCAUCAUUAGAUUGCGUGAGGUCGUGGGUUCAACUCCCACAGUGUCCA